AACGAACGCUGGCGGCAUGCCUAACACAUGCAAGUCGAACGAGACCUUCGGGUCUUGUGGCGCACGGGUGCGUAACGCGUGGGAACCUGCCCUUAGGUUCGGAAUACCUCCCCGAAGGGGGUGCUCAUACCGGAUAAUGUCUUCGGACCAAAGAUUUAUCGCCUUUGGAUGGGCCCGCGUUAGAUUAGCUAGUUGGUAGGGUAAAAGCCUACCAAGGCGACGAUCCAGAGCUGGUCUGAGAGGAUGAUCAGCCACACUGGGACUGAGACACGGACCAGACUCCUACGGGAGGCAGCAGUGGGGAAUAUUGGACAAUGGGCGAAAGCCUGAUCCAGCAAUGCCGCGGAAGAGAUGAAGGCCGUAGGGUUGUAAAGCUCUUUUACCCGGGAUGAUAAUGACAGUACCGGGAGAAUAAGCUCCGGCUAACUCCGUG
rnacentral:rRNA from 1 species